CCCACCUUUCAUAUCGGCCGCCGCUCCCCUCCGAAGCUUCUCGAUCCCUCCCCCCGCUUCCGUUUCCGUUUCCGUUUCGUCCCCGUCGUCUCCCCCCUCGCCGCGGCGGCGGAGUCGCCCGCACUCGCUGCGCGCAGCGGUAGAGCUAUCGUGUUCGCCGCAGUCGUGAUCUUAGUGGUUUCGGCGAGGAACGAUGAGCCGACGUAACGGCCGCACCAUCUACGUGGGCAACCUCCCCGAGGACAUCCGCGAGAGAGAGAUUGAGGAUCUCUUCUACAAGUACGGUCCUAUUGUCGAUAUCGAUCUGAAAAUUCCUCCAAGGCCUCCUGUUUAUGCUUUUGUCGAGUUUGAAGACCCACGUGAUGCUGAUGAUGCAAUUUAUGGCCGUGAUGGAUACGACUUUGAUGGCUGCAAAUUGCGGGUGGAGUUAGCUCAUGGGGGAAAAGGCCCUUCUUUUGAUCGACCAAACAGCUAUACUAGUUCUGGACGUCGUGGUGCACUUAGGCGUUCUGAUUACCGCGUUAUUGUUACCGGAUUACCUUCUUCAGCAUCAUGGCAAGAUCUCAAGGAUCAUAUGCGGCGAGCUGGUGAUGUCUGUUUCUCUGAUGUUUAUCCUGAGGCUGGAGCAAUUACUGGAAUAGUUGAGUAUACCAACUACGAAGACAUGAAACAUGCGAUAAGGAAGCUUGAUGAUUCAGAGUUCCGUAAUGCAUUUUCACGCACAUAUAUCAGGGUGAGGGAGUACAAUGCUAGGGGUAGCCGCUCUUACUCGAGAAGUAGAAGCCGAAGCUGCUCUUACUCGAGAAGCAGAAGUCACAGUUAUAGCAGGAGCAGGAGUCCAAGGUCAUCAUCAAGAUCCCUAUCACCUGCCGCACCUGCGCGUGACAAGUCUGCAAGCAGGAGCCCCAUCAGGAGCAGAAGUUUACCCCGUUCUCAGUCUCCUGUGAAAUCUGAGUGAAGCCAGAUGCACUUGAAGUCAGAAAAAAAAACAUAUCAGGAUUUUUUGGAUUAGGACAAUAUAAUAUGGAUUGCGGGUGCUCUGUCUCAAGAAGUACCAUUGCUAUUCCUUGGAAGGAAAAACGUCAACUUUGUGGUUUGAGAUCAAUGUAGGAGUCUGGUGUUGUUUUACUUCUGCACUUCAGUUGCAAGAACGUAAAAUCGUGAACUCAUGGCUUUAACUUUAGUAUGCUAUAGUUCCGUGUCGAAAAACUUAAUGCUGCAGCAGAGUUUACAUAUGGUGUUCUGUGAUUUACUUCGACUUACAUCAGUAAUGUAGGGGUGCAAACGGGUACCCGGGUGUUCUCUGGUCCUCUUUAGUUCAACCAAAUGAACUAAAUUUUCAGUAGUAUCCGUGGAUACCUGAGGGCCACAAAUUUGCAUCCCAA
rnacentral:rRNA from 1 species